AGCGAACGCUGGCGGCGUGCUUAACACAUGCAAGUCGAACGGAUCCGGGGGGCAACCCUCGGAUUAGUGGCGAACGGGUGAGUAACACGUGGGUAAUCUCCCCCCGAGUGAGGAAUAAGCUUGCGAAAGCGGGUCUAAUACCGCAUGACGUCCCGGGGCGUAUGCCCUUGGACCAAAGCCGUAAGGCGCUUGGGGAUGAGCCUGCGUCCUAUUAGCUAGUUGGUAGGGUAACGGCCGACCAAGGCGAUGAUGGGUAGCCGGCCUGAGAGGGUGAACGGCCACACUGGAACUGAGACACGGUCCAGACUCCUACGGGAGGCAGCAGUGGGGAAUUUUGCGCAAUGGGCGAAAGCCUGACGCAGCGACGCCGCGUGGAGGAAGACGGCCUUCGGGUUGUAAACUCCUGUCAGAGGUGAAGAAUGCCCGCAAGGGCUUGACGGUAACCUCAGAGGAAGCCCCGGCUAACUACGUGCCAGCCGCCGCCGUAACAC
rnacentral:rRNA from 1 species